CAGGCAAACAGGAACCCACAGGAUGGACUGGAGUCUGCAUUACUGUCUUACUGCCUCCCAGCUGCCACCUUCCAUGAUCAGGUACUCUGUAGGGGAAGCUGGUGUUCUCCAUCAGGGAGCUGAGCACCUACUGGUCCGGGAGUGACAGAGGCUGCAGGGGCUGCAGGCAAAGCUGCUGUUCCACUCUGACAACACAAGCUGGCAGAUUUUUCUUCACAUGUUCCAAGAUUUCCAUGAUCCAGAACACUUUCAUUGCCAGAGAGUUUUGCCAGUCCCAGACACGAGGCCAAGAAGAGUCUGAUAUUCCAGCCAUCAGGCCACUGAGAAGGCAAUGGAAAAUAGACACACAGAAACAAAUGGGAAGACUUUUCAGUAAUCCAACAGGAAGCUGGUGGUGGCUAAGAUAACAACAACUGAGAUGAAGAGAAAUAGGGAAAUUUGGUAUGUAUUUUGGAGAUCCAGGUGAUUGGACUUGCUGAUGGAUUGGAUAGGGAAGAGGGGUUGCUGAGAGAACAUAAGAACUCAAGGAUGAAUUCUAACUUUUGGCCUCCAGAAAUUUUUAACUCAUCUAAAGACCCAAAUCUUAGAGCUUUACAAAGUAUUGUGUGAUAUGGCAUUUUAAUUUCUUAAGGUUUAUGAAAAUCUUAUAUAUAUGAACAAUGGACUUUACAAUUGGGUCUCUAUAGUACAUUGGGAUUAUACUGAGAUUUAGUUAGAUGAUAAUCUUGAAUAUCAUCAGAAAAAAUUGAAAUUAUGCUGUUUUAUUAUGAUAAAAAAAAUCCCAGGGGAAUGUGUAUGUCUGAAGGGGUCUGAAUAAAGCAAAAUUGGUUAUACAUUGAACACUUUUGAAGCUGAGUGAUUGGCAUGUGAAGGUUGAACUUUUGUGAAUGUUGCAAAAAUUACACAAUAAAAAGUUUAAAAAGAGAUAAGAAAAAAAUUUAGUUAUCUCCCCAUCAAGAUGAGAAUUGCUUCCUAUCUGCUUUUCAAAUAAACACCCAAAUAAUAACCACUCUAAGUACAUCAUAGUAAGUAGUUUGUCAGAGAAAUCAGGAAAUCCAGCCAAAAUUCUUAAGUACUUGAGGCUUAUAAACCCCUCAGAAAUAUGAUGAAACAUGAAAAUUUUUCCCAGGG